GCCAGAUAAUGGUUUUUGUGCAACUGUCACAGGAACCGGCAAAAAUGUGCAACAUCAUGCUUUGCAAGGGAUUUCCCGUUCGGUAGAAAACACACAUGUAUUUUCUCCAGAUACCCCCACUAGGAUUAAGGAAGUAUUACAGAAAGCAUGUCCCCUGCAUAUCUUCAAAGAUGUUCACCAAUCAGGGGUUAACUGUCUUCAUGUUUCAGACAUAGAUGGUCCUGAAGUUUCUGAUCGGAAGUUUACAUUUUAUAUUCUGAGUGGGGGUGAUGACCAGUCACUUAACUGUCUUAGUUUAGAUUUCUCUCCGACAUCAAUGAGGCAGAGUUCUGAAAAUUCGACUUUGGAGCAAAAUAGCACCAGCACAUCACAGAAUAUAGGUGGUGAUGUUCAUAAUUAUCAAGUGGGAAAUCAUCAUAUUAAAUUUAUGUUGCAUGAUAAUAUCACCUCAGCUCACAGCUCUGCCGUUAAAGGUGUUUGGACAGAUGGUCGUUGGGUAUUUUCUACUGGUCUUGAUCAGCGCAUCAGGUGUUGGCAUCUUGAAGAGCGAGGCAAAUUAACUGAGCACAAACAUAUGGUUGUUAGUGUACCAGAGCCCGAGGCAUUGGAUGCUCGGGUCUGUGGAAGGAACCAUUAUCAGAUUGUAGUCGCUGGGAGGGGAAUGCAAAU
rnacentral:misc_RNA from 1 species